ensembl:lncRNA
GGAAAAUAAAAUAACAUUGAGUUAUCUCUUAAAAUCUUCAUUAAUUUAUUGAACAAAUAUUUAUUGGGUACGUAUCAUGCAUCUGGUAUUGAAACAGUCAAAACCCACACUUUUAUGGAGCUUAUAUUCUUGUGAUGACAGAUAUCAAGAGUACCCCAAAACAAAAACCUAAAACAAAUAUAUAAUACACUGUCAGACAUAACAACAAGACAAGAUGGUAACAGGUCUCAGAAGAAGACUCACUGAGGUCAUGUUUAAGCAGAGAUCUAAAUGAAGAGGGGGAGUAAGCAACAGACAUACUGGUGGGUAGACCUUUCCAUGUCAGAAAGAGUGCAAGGAUAUAUUUGAGGACCACGAUGCAAGGCAGUGCCUCCAAAGCAGUGCAAGGGAAGAUAAUGCUAGGUGGUCCGGGUCAUGAAGAUCGUCUCUGGCCUUUGGAUUUAUUCUGUAAUUGGGGUGGUGGGGAGUCAAGGAUCAGCGGAAGAUUUUGUGUAGAAGAGUGCCGUGAUGAGAGUUGAAUUGUAAAAGAAUCCCUUUGGCUGCUGUUAGGAGCCACAGGAAGUACUGAAGAAGGGAGGGAAGUGUUGAACAUGCUGGUGGUUUGUGCUGAGGAGGUACUGAUGUACAUGGAGAGAGGAUGCAGUAUAUAUAUCCGCUAUCAGCAAAGUGUUAAUACAUAGAGUAUUUGGAUGAAAUGUUUGUAUGUCUCCUGAAGGAUAUAUCUGGAAAACAUAAAUUAAAUUAAAGUGAGAAAGCUUAGAGGCAACUUUAAUAAAAUCUUUAAAGUGAGCUAUAGGAGUUCUUAAAAUGUAUCAAUUUAGUGGCUUCAGAUUAUUUAUUUUGUUUCAUAAAGUACAAUAGGUCACCUCUUCAGGUAUGAAAAGCAAUUUUUUAAUUUAAAAUAUAUUUCAAUGAUACAUUUCCAAUAUAGCAUUUGCUUUAAAUUAUUAUCUACUCUCAGUUAAUAAGAGAGCUUUCGCUACUUUACAAAGAUCUUUCUAAAAAAAAAAAGAAGAGUUCUGAAGAUAUUGAGUUUCUGAUUCUAUGAACCCUGGAAAUAUUGGUCUAGUUCCAGAACAAAUUCAUGUCAUUAAGUGUAUGGUGAACUCUUUCUUUUUAGCUAAAAAAUUAUCCCCAGAAGAUGUUUUCAUAGAGCUACUCUUUUUAGAGUAAUAAAAUCACCAGGUGUCUUUCUUUUUGCAAACUGGUGUUUCUCCACCACAUCAUUGCUUCAGAUACCCCUGGCGUUGCAUUCCAGUUUGAAACGAACAUUGGAGGAGUCCACAGUAGUUGGUAUUCCACGUCUGGCGGGAGAAUCAUCAUCCAGGCUCCGUGGAUUUGAGGUUGACUUCAUUCUUAUUAAAUUGUAAAAAUUAGAUGAAGAAUAGUUUGAAUUUGCCAGAAUUUCCUAAAUCAUGCCUCACUGAGUACCACUGUUCAAUAUGAUGUUAGACAUUUCAAAGGGGAGGAAACUAUUACUAUCAAAUAAAUUUGGGGAAGUGGGUUAAAAAAUUGACUAGUUUGUUGAUGUCUUUUUUAUUUGAUUUUAUUGCAGAG